AUGCAGCAGCAUGGCCUGCUGGGUCCAGGUGUUAGAGGCAGUGGUGGUAAUUCUCUAACAGAUUGUGAGCGGGAGAUACCCUUUCUUCUUUGAUCCUGAUGUUUCCAGGACACUGUGAAUCUGGGAAAUCUCAAGAAGGAGAAAGGUAGCUGAUACCUGGGCAGGAGGAGAAGAAGAGAGAGUCACAGAGCCCCAAAACAUGAGAAGCUGUGGAUUCCUUCAGAUUAAUAUAGUUUGAUCAAGGAAGACCCCCUAAAAGAUCUCUGAUGGGAAUGAUGGCCCAUGCCAAACCUUGCCAAGACAAGCCGUGUACACAGCACCUCCCAGCACUAUGGAAGCCAGCCAGUAGGAAUGAAGUCUCUGGGCCAGUACCAGCUUGUCUUUUCCAUGUUCAGUGGCUCA